CCUACGGGAGGCAGCAGUGGGGAAUAUUGGGCAAUGGGCGCAAGCCUGACCCAGCAACGCCGCGUGAAGGAAGAAGGCUUUCGGGUUGUAAACUUCUUUUGUCAGGGAAGAGUAGAAGACGGUACCUGACGAAUAAGCCACGGCUAACUACGUGCCAGCAGCCGCGGUAAUAUGCAGGUGGCAAGCGUUGUUCGGAUUUACUGGGCGUAAAGGGCGUGUAGCCGGGUUGACAAGUCAGAUGUGAAAUCCUGCGGCUUAACCGAAGAACUGCAUUUGAAACUGUUGAUCUUGAGUACUGGAGAGGCAGACGGAAUUCCUAGUGUAGCGGUGAAAUGCGUAGAUAUUAGGAGGAACACCAGUGGCGAAGGCGGUCUGCUGGACAGCAACUGACGGUGAGGCGCGAAAGCGUGGGGAGCAAACAGGAUUAGAUACCCUGGUAGUC
rnacentral:rRNA from 1 species